GACGAACGCUGGCGGCGUGCUUAACACAUGCAAGUCGAACGAUGAAGCCCGGGCUUGCCCGGGUGGAAGAGUGGCGAACGGGUGAGUAACACGUGAGUAACCUGCCCAUCACUCUGGGAUAAGCGCUGGAAACGGCGUCUAAUACUGGAUAUGACCCAUAACCGCAUGGUUUGUGGGUGGAAAGAUUUAUCGGUGGUGGAUGGGCUCGCGGCCUAUCAGCUGGAUGGUGGGGUAAUGGCUCACCAUGGCGACGACGGGUAGCCGGCCUGAGAGGGUGACCGGCCACACUGGGACUGAGACACGGCCCAGACUCCUACGGGAGGCAGCAGUGGGGAAUAUUGCACAAUGGGCGAAAGCCUGAUGCAGCAACGCCGCGUGAGGGAUGACGGCCU
rnacentral:rRNA from 1 species